UAGGUGGCAAGCGUUAUCCGGAUUUACUGGGUGUAAAGGGCGUGUAGGCGGGACUGCAAGUCAGAUGUGAAAUUCCAGGGCUCAACCCUGGACCUGCAUUUGAAACUGUAGUUCUUGAGUGAUGGAGAGGCAGGCGGAAUUCCGUGUGUAGCGGUGAAAUGUGUAGAUAUACGGAGGAACACCAGUGGCGAAGGCGGCCUGCUGGACAUUAACUGACGCUGAGGCGCGAAAGCGUGGGGAGCAAA
rnacentral:rRNA from 1 species